UCCUAGGACCGCUGCCUGGCGGCCGGGAUGGAAGACUUCGGCCUCAACCCAUCACAGCGGGAAAACCAGGCGGGUGAAGGCGUCCCUCGUGAAGGCUGGGGCCUUAACCAAUCAUAGCGGGAAAACCAGGCGGGGCCUCAACCAAUCGCGGGUGUCUGGGGCCUCAACCCAUCACAGCGGGAAAACCAGAUACCACAUGCAAGAGAAGAUAUUAAUGUCUCGCCUUCACAUUCGCAAAGAAUACUAAUGGUUAAACCAUGCCCACCGCUGCUGCCACAGAAAGCGAACAGAAGAUCCACAGCCAACACCCGUCGGUGCCGUGACCAGAAACGUCCUCCUUCUUUUGCACAGCUUGCUUCUUUGUUCAGUAAAAGUCCAUUUGGUUCCCAAA